UAUCUCUGUAGAGUCUGCAUAUCAAUAAGCGGAGGAAAAGAAACUAACAAGGAUUCCCCUAGUAACGGCGAGUGAAGCGGGAAGAGCUCAAAUUUGAAAUCUUCAAGGUUUGACCUUGACGAAUUGUAGUUUAAAGAAGUGUUUUCGGUUAGAGGAGUAGUAAAAGUUCUUUGGAAUAGGACAUCAUAGAGGGUGAGAAUCCCGUAUUUGACUAUUCUUUCUAGCUUUGUGAUACACUUUCAAAGAGUCGGAUUGUUUGGGAAUGCAGUCCGAAAUGGGUGGUAAAUUUCAUCUAAAGCUAAAUAUUGGCGAGAGACCGAUAGCGAACAAGUACCGUGAGGGAAAGAUGAAAAGAACUUUGAAAAGAGAGUUAAAUAGUACGUGAAAUUGUCAAAAGGGAAGCGUUUGACACCAGUGUUGUUUUUCCGAAAAUCAAUUAAAAAUUGAUUCAUGCCAGGUUGUAUUGACCUUAUCAGCUUGCAAUUUGGUUUUGGGUCUCCUUUUGAUGCACUUUUCGGUUAACAAGUCAACAUCAAUUUCCUUUGCUGUAAAAAGGUAAGAGGAAGGGUGGCUUCAAUUUCGGUUGAAGUGUUUGUAGCCUUUUAUCUCUGCAGUCGGGGAGAUUGAGGUCUGCAGCGUAGAUCCUUCGGGGCUAGAUACAUUUAUGCUAAGUUAUAGCUUUUCAUAGACAACUUGUUGACUAUGUUUAGUCAUGUAGCUUACUCGUAAGUGCUAUUUUACCUACGCUUAGGAUGUUGAGCGCAUGUCUCUCUCU
rnacentral:rRNA from 1 species